CCUACGGGUGGCUGCAGUGGGGAAUAUUGGACAAUGGGGGGAACCCUGAUCCAGCCAUGCCGCGUGUGUGAAGAAGGCCCUCGGGUUGUAAAGCACUUUCAGUGAGGAAGAACGCCUGGUGGUUAAUACCCAUCAGGAAAGACAUCACUCACAGAAGAAGCACCGGCUAACUCCGUGCCAGCAGCCGCGGUAAUACGGAGGGUGCGAGCGUUAAUCGGAAUUACUGGGCGUAAAGCGCGCGUAGGUGGCUUGAUAAGCCGGUUGUGAAAGCCCCGGGCUCAACCUGGGAACGGCAUCCGGAACUGUCAAGCUAGAGUGCAGGAGAGGAAGGUAAAAUUCCCGGUGUAGCGGUGAAAUGCGUAGAGAUCGGGAGGAAUACCAGUGGCGAAGGCGGCCUUCUGGACUGACACUGACACUGAGGUGCGAAAGCGUGGGUAGCAAACAGGAUUAGAUACCCUUGUAGUC
rnacentral:rRNA from 1 species